rnacentral:lncRNA from 1 species
CCCCUUGGGACAUGGGCUACUGUGGAACAGCAUCGUCGCCAUGUCAACUAACAUUCUUCGCUCCAAACUCCACAGCUAUAGAUUAUUUCUCCAGUACAAACUAUGGUAAAAAGAUCAUGAAAGAUGAAUAUGCUUUUCAAAGGGUAAGAAUGAACUUUGUUCACAAUAUUAUAGUCAGUAUAAAAUAUAAGACAUCCAUUUAUUAGUUGGGAUCUUUCUAUCUCUUAGGGUUUACUAAUAUAUGGCAAUAUGUUGCUGAAGAAUGUUUGUGGAAAAACUUUAAAAUAUUGUUUACAUAUUUUUCGCUACCCACCGGUUAAAAGAUUCUGCAGGUUUUCCUACCAUACAUUGUAGUAUCAGUAUUGCAAAGGAGGUGGUAAAAUUUUUAAAAGAUCUUCACUUGCAGAACUUUUAGUUGUUUUUUUAUACAACCGCAAAAAAUCUAAAUUUUUUGGUCGUAUAUUGGUAUCAUGCUGGUGUGUCGUCUCGAAGACAUUUGUUUUCGCACUUAACUUUAGUAAAAUAAAUCAGAAAUCAUGAAAUUUAAACACCAGGUUAGACCAUAAAGGAAGGUUGGGAUUAUAUGGUGUUUUGGUCCAAACAGUUUAGAAUAGGGGCCAAAAAAGGCCCAAAUAGCCAUUUUUGUUGGUUUUCGCACAAACUUUGUAUUAGUAAACAGAAUCUAUGAAAUUUACAUAAGUCUAUGACACAAAGGAAGUUGGGAUUGAUUGGGAGUUUAGUCUCAACAGUUUAGAAAUCUAGAAAUUUUAACAGGUUAUGACCACAAAAGAAGGUUUAGAUUGAUUUGGGAGUUUGUCAAGGAUUAGGGCCAAAAGGUCAAAAUUACUUUUAUUUGAUUUCAUAAAAGUGAAUUAUUGGGGUUCUUGAAUGAAUUAACCGUGUAUUCAGAUUUUGGUCCUGUCUUCAAAUUGUUUACAUAAGUCCAAAAGGUCCAAAAUUAAACUUAGCUUGAUUUUAACAAAAAUUGAUUCUGGUUUCUUGAUAUGCUGAAUCUAAACAUGUACUUAGAUUUUUUAUUAUGGUUUUCAAGUUGUCAAAUCGGGUCCAAAAUUAUUAUAUUGAAUAUUGUGCAGUAGCAAGAAUUUUCAAUUGCACGUAUCCGCAAUAGCAAAAAAUUUCAAUUGCACAGUAUUGGGUGAAAUAGCAAAAAUAUCUAAUUGUACAAAUCGCAACAGCAAAAAAUUCAAUUGCACAGUUUUGCUCAAUAGCAAAAAUUUCAAUUGCACAGUAUUUCCUGUUUUCAAAUUGCUAACUUAAGGGUCCAAAGGUCAAAAUUAAACUUUGUUUGAUUUCAUCAAAAUUAAUAUAAGGGGUCUUUCAAUAUGCUGAUCAACCAUGUAUUAAAUUUUUAAUUUAGGCGGUUACAAAUGGUCCACAUUGGGGUCUAAAGCUCUAAAUUGAACUAUUUGAUUUCAUCAAAAUGAAUUCUUGGGUUCUAUGAUAUGUGAAGUCUAACCAUGAUUAGAUUUUGUAUUGGCCAUAAUAGGAAGUCCAUAUAAAAAUUUUAAUUUGUAAGUUAAUUCUAACACUCAUUCUUGUCCAGAACCUAUGUAGUGUCAACUAUUUAAUCACAAUCCAAAUUCAGAGCCGUAUCAAGCUUAAUUGUCGUGUCCAUACUUUCCCUAACUGUUCAGGGUUCUACCUCUGCGGUUGUAUAAAGCUGCGCCCUGCAGAGCAUCUGGUUUUAAAUUUAAGGGAGAAAACAAAUGAUUAAGGCCUCGAUAUUCAAAGAAUUAUACUGUUUAUCUCAAUUAGAUUGUCUAUUAUUUUAGAUAUUAACUAGACUGAUGUUUCGAGAGAAGAUAGAACUAGAAACACUAGCAAAUACCAACAACAAUUACAGAUCUAUACAUGGGGAUUCAAUUCGAAUCUCCAAAUCUAAUGAUAGAUGUAAGCAGAAAGUAAAGAUAAGGGUCUUCUGUAUUCUUUAUAUUUCUAUGUAAUUUUUUUUGCAUUAUGCAUAUUUUUUUACCUAUUCUGUUUCUUUAUGUUAUUAGGCACCCAAUUUUUCUACAGUCUUUAUUUUGUUGCCUAUUGUUAUCUUUAUAUAAAUUGUUCAUCAUCAAUUUAUGCGUCUAUUGAAACCUCUCAAAUUUUUCCUGAAUGCUGUUAGUUUUUACAAAUGGACACAACACCACUACUAACCAUAUUUUGAAAUUAACCCUGCCUAUUAACCAUUUAACCCAUAUGAAAUAAUUAUAUACAUGGUCUCCACAAGGUUACUUUUAAGCAAUCGUAUUCCUAUAAAUGUAUAGGAGGUAAGAUAAAAAUGAAUCCACAAUAAAUACACUAUAUUAAAUGUUAAAAUAUAUGAGCCUACACAACUGCAGUAACUCAUCAUAAUAUAGGAUUCUCAAUUAUUCAAAUCUUAAAGAAUUGCUGUUUAAUACUUUUCAGUUGUGACCUUGUAUUACCAGGCAGCAGCAGCUAGAGUGAUCCACAUGGACAACGGUGCUACUAAUGGCAUCGUCCAUAUUAUAGAAUCUAUACUGUAUGUACCAGAUGAUCUCAGUCUACUAACCUCUGGAUCUAGCCAUGUUCACUACAGUCCAAUUAUGUUACUUGUUGUACUGUUUUUAUGGACGACAUUCCACUCCUAUAGAUAGUUGUACUUCAUGCUGGGACUGCAGUCUAAAACUGUAUAUAGUUCUACUGUUUAUGGGGAUUACAGUCCACUCCUGUAGAUAGAUGUACUUUUUGUGUGGACUUAAGCAGUCUAUUGAUAAAUGUAUUUUGUGUAUGGAUUUUCAUUUUGUUAAACUUACAGGGAACGC